GUCCAGAUUCAACGAGGUUGAAAGGAAGGGAAAUCCUUAAGGGGGACCCCAUUCGCGGUCUCACUCCAGUUCGUCGUCUCCGAGAGAAAUGGCUUCAUGGAAUUCAGUUCCAAUGGAGAUCCUCUACCAGCUAUUAGGAUGGAGUGCUAUCAUAUGCUGGGCGCUCGCCUCAUAUCCGCAGAUCGUUCUGAAUUUCUGGCGAAAAAGUGUUGUAGGAUUGAGCUUUGAUUUUGUGAUGCUGAAUUUCACGAAGCAAUCGUCGUAUUUGAUUUACAACGCGAGCCUGUUCUUCAGCGCUACUGUUCAGAGGCAGUACUUCGAGAAAUACGGCUUCGAUCAGAUGAUACCGGUGGCUUUGAGCGAUGUGUUCUUCCCCUCGCACUCGAUUUUAUUGAUCUUCAUCGUUUCAGUUCAAAUCUUUUUAUUUGAAUGUGGCGACCAGAAGGUCUCGAACUCAGCCGUCGCCAUCUUCGCUGCAGUAUGGGUUUUUGCAGCUGCUUGCUUUUUUAUAGCUCUGCCUACUCAUUCAUGGCUUUGGCUUGUCUCCAUGUUCAAUUCAAUUCAAGUUCUUAUGACAGUCAUCAAAUACUCCCCUCAGGCAUUUUUGAACUUUACCCGAAAAAGCACGAUGGGAUUCACCAUUCAUACCGUAGUUCUAGACUUCAUUGGAGGAGUGGCCACUUUGACUCAAAUGAGCGUGCAGUCAAUUGACCAAGGUUCUUGGGUGAACUUCUUUGGAAAUAUAGGGAAGCCAUUGUUAGCUUCAGUCUCUAUAGUGUUUGAUCUGAUUUUCUUCUAUCAACAUUUUGUAUUAUAUCGUGUCAAGGCAACAAAGGUUUCAUCUCAACGUGACCCUGAAAGCACUGAGGCAUUGCUUGAGAACUCUGAUCACUUGCAAGGGAUUGCCACAACCAAUUGAUAUUUGAUGGUAUUGCUUCCACCUCUUAGCUUAUUUUCGUGCCAAGAGGUGCAACAACAUAGCCCGGUAAAUUAGAGAUCUGCGUCUAUUAGGAGUUCUUUCUAUUGGUCGUUCGACGGGCUCGGGUUUUAUAGAAAUGAUUCUGAAGAAGAUGGCUUAACCAGAGUUGGUUUCGAGACGCCAGCAUUUGUAUAUUAGAAAUGGAAGUUUCGUGUUCAAGUUUCGUUGUAUAGUUGUUCGAUGAAAUUGUCGGAUUUUUACAAUGGUUAUUUACGACCAGGAGCGAGGCGAUGUCGAGAAAGAAGCCUUCAAGAUCCUUGACGAUUGGUAUAUGUUGUUAUGGUCAUGCAUAUAUUUAGAGAUGUAUUUGCUUGAAGUUUGAGCAUACAUGACUGACUGUGUAGUUGUGUUGUACAAAAAGUUUCUCCCAUGGUUCUAUCUCCACUUCCAUGUGUUAGAAGAUAAUCUCUUUGGAUUAGAUGACAAUCCUAGAGAUAAUCCAAUGAGCACAAAUCUUAAUGCUACGAGUGAAAUUGGAUA